rnacentral:rRNA from 1 species
GACGAACGCUGGCGGCGUGCCUAAUACAUGCAAGUCGAACGAACGGAUUGAGGAGCUUGCUCUUCAUGAAGUUAGUGGCGGACGGGUGAGUAACACGUGGGUAACCUGCCCUUCAGUGGGGGAUAACAUCCGGAAACGGGUGCUAAUACCGCAUAGUUUCUUUUUCCGCCUGGAAGAAGAAGGAAAGAUGGCCUUUGCGCUAUCACUGAGGGAUGGACUCGCGGCGUAUUAGCUAGUUGGUGAGAUAGAAGCUCACCAAGGCAAUGAUACGUAGCCGACCUGAGAGGGUGACCGGCCACACUGGGACUGAGACACGGCCCAG